GUUAAUAAAAUCAAACAGCGAAAAGAAAAGAAAAAAUCCCUCCAUUUCCACUUUCACUCACUCUUCUUCUAAUUUAAUUGAUUGAUCCCAUUGGCCUCCCAAACCCUAAACCCUAGCCAUGGAGUGGAACCCACAGACUCUCCAAUUCCUCUCCGAAUGCUUCCUCCACACGCUCUCCCCCUCCCCGGAGCCCCGCCGCCGCGCCGAGUCCUCCCUCGCCGACGCCGCCGCCCGCCCCAACUACGCCCUCGCCGUCCUCCGCCUCGUCGCCGAGCCCUCCAUCGACGACCAGAUCCGCCAGGCCGCCGCCGUGAACUUCAAGAACCACCUCCGGCUCCGGUGGUCCUCCGACGACGCCCCCGUCCCCGACCCCGAGAAGGAGCAGAUCAAAACCCUAAUCGUCCCCCUGAUGCUCUCCGCCACCCCCAAAAUCCAAUCCCAGCUGAGCGAAGCCCUCGCCCUCAUCGGCCACCACGACUUCCCCAAAUCAUGGCCCUCCCUCCUCCCCGAACUCGUCGCCAACCUCCACAAAGCCUCCCAAGCCUCCGAUUACGCCUCCGUUAACGGUAUUCUCGGCACCGCCAAUUCCAUUUUCAAGAAAUUUAGGUUUCAGUAUAAAACUAACGACCUAUUGCUCGACCUCAAGUACUGCCUCGACAACUUCGCCAGGCCCUUGCUUGAAAUUUUCCUCAAAACGGCGUCGCUUAUCGACGCCGGCGCCCCCAACCUCCGGCAGCUCUUCGAGUCUCAGAGGCUCUGCUGUCGGAUAUUCUACUCGCUGAACUUUCAGGAGCUUCCUGAAUUCUUCGAGGAUCACAUGAAAGAGUGGAUGAGUGAGUUUAGGAAGUAUCUUACUACUAGCUACCCUGCUCUUGAGAGCAGUGGUGCUGAUGGUGUUGCGGUUGUUGAUGAGCUUAGGGCUGCUGUUUGUGAGAAUAUUAACCUCUACAUGGAGAAGAAUGAGGAGGAGUUUCAGGGCUUCUUGAAUGAUUUCGCGCUUGCUGUGUGGACUUUGCUUGGGAAUGUGUCCCAGUCUUCCACCCGUGACCGGCUUGCGAUUACCGCCAUUAAGUUUUUGACUACGGUUAGUACUAGUGUUCACCAUACUUUGUUUGCGAGUGAUGGGGUGAUACCGCAGAUUUGCCAGUGCAUUGUUAUUCCGAAUGUGAGGUUGAGGGAGGAUGACGAGGAGCUGUUUGAGAUGAAUUAUGUUGAAUUUAUUAGGAGGGAUAUGGAAGGGAGUGAUCUUGAUACUAGGAGGAGGAUUGCUUGUGAGUUACUCAAGGGUAUCGCGACACAUUAUGGGGAUGCUGUGAAAAGCAUUGUUUCUGCGCAGAUUCAGAGUUUGUUGGGUUCGUUUGCUGCGAACCCUGGGGCGAAUUGGAAGGACAAGGAUUGUGCUAUAUACUUGGUGGUUUCGCUUGCAACCAAGAAGGCAGGGGCUAGUGUUGUCUCCACGGAACUUGUUGAUGUUCAGAGCUUUUUUGAGUCUGUGAUUGUCCCUGAGCUGCAAAGUGCCGAUGUGAAUGGGUAUCCUAUGCUUAAGGCAGGUGCACUCAAAUUUUUUACCAUGUUCCGGACCCAAAUAUCGAAGCAUAUAGCGUUGAAGUUUUUUCCAGAUUUGGUUCGUUUCCUUACUGCAGAAUCUAAUGUCGUUCAUUCUUACGCUGCAAGCUGUAUUGAAAAACUCCUGUUGGUGAAGGAUGAAGGUGGUGGAGCACGUUAUACUUCAGCAGAUAUCAAUCCAAUUUUUGCAGUGCUGAUGAACAACCUUUUCAGUGCCUUUAAACUCCCAGAGUCUGAAGAGAAUCAAUAUAUAAUGAAAUGUAUUAUGAGGGUUCUUGCUGUUGCAGAUAUAUCUGUUGAUGUUGCACGAAUUUGCAUUGAAGGGUUGGGCUCUCUUCUCACUGAAGUUUGCAAAAAUCCGAAAAAUCCUGUCUUCAAUCACUAUCUCUUUGAGUCGGUAGCUAUUCUUGUGAGGCGGGCUUGUGAGAGGGACUCAUCUCUUGUAUCUGUUUUUGAAGGAAGCCUCUUUCCUAGGCUUGAAAUAAUAUUGGCCAAUGAUGUGACUGAGUUUUUACCGUACACGUUUCAGUUGCUUGCUCAGCUUGUUGAGUUAAACCGACCACCGAUCCCACCAAUCUACAUGCAGAUAUUUGAGAUUCUAUUGUCACCUGAUUCUUGGAAAAGAGCCUCAAAUGUUCCUGCCCUUGUGCGUCUACUCCAGGCCUUCCUUCAAAAGGCACCGAAUGAGAUCAGCCAAGGGGAUAGACUGACCAAAGUGCUUGGCAUAUUUGACACACUGAUUCAAUCUUCAAGCACAUCUGAACAAGGAUUUUAUGUGCUUAACACAGUCAUUGAAAGUCUCGAGUAUAAUGCUAUUAAACCGUAUAUUUCUCACAUCUGGGCUGCUCUUUUUAGAGAGCUCCAGAAAAAGCGAACUGUAAAGCUCAUCAAGUCUCUCUUGAUAUUCAUGUCACUCUUCCUGAUUAAGCACGGUUCUGCAAAUGUUGUUGAUACCAUGAACAGUGUCCAGCCUGAUAUAUUUAUUGUGAUUUUAAAUCAGUUUUGGAUUCCUAAUCUUAAGCUGAUUACAGGAGCUAUAGAACUCAAGUUGACUGCAGUUGCUUCAACUAGACUCAUCUGCGAGUCUCCAGUUCUUUUGGAUCCUGCAGCUUCUGUGUCAUGGGGUAAGAUGGUGGACAGCAUUGUGACACUCCUUUCCCGGCCAGAAGAGGAUAGAGUUGAGGAGGAACAUAACAUGCCAGAUAUUACAGAAAAUGCAGGGUAUACCAGCACCUUUGUUCUUCUUUACAAUGCUGGAAAGAAAGAAGAGGAUCCACUUAAAGAUAUAAGAGAUCCCAGGGAGUUUUUUGUAGCAUCAUUAUCUCGACUUUCUGCACUUACCCCUGGGAGGUACCCUAAAGUCAUCAGUGAAAACGUUGAUCCUGUGAAUCAAACAGCAUUGCUUCAGCUUUGCAACACUUAUAAUCUUUCAAUAGUUUGAUGAGUUGAAGUCACGACGAUUUUUGGAAGCAACAACUAUUUGCUUUUGUGGUUUGUAUGCUGGAAUACGAUGGGGUAUCACUGUCCGGGGUCCCCGCCUUUUGCAACAUUUUGAGCUAGCUAAGCUAAAGGUACUUCUUGCAUUGAAACAGAGGUUUUAGCGGCUAUUAUCAUCAUCAUCCAUUUUUGCCAGUCCCAUGAUUUAUGCGAUGCUGAACUGGAUUUCCUGUUAGUCCCAUUUUGAAUACUGUAAGCAUGUGUUUUGAAAUACGGUUUGGUCUGUUGGGAUAUUGGUGUAAAUUUUUUCAUGUCUCCCAUUCCCAGUUUCCUUCUGUUUCAGCAUGCCUGUGAGCAAAUUGUAAUGGAUAUCUAUCUUCGGUGCGGUCAUUUUUGUGUGAACUUGCAUAUUAAAGUAUAUUUUACAUUAAGGCGUAUUAUUUUUCACGA